CCAGUGGACACCUGGAGGUGACUCUGCCCAGGACCCUGUCCAAGUGGUAUAGGGGGCACAGGGCUCUGCCUGGUGAUGUGCAGUCCCUUCUCUGACGUUGCAGAUGAGCUGGGCCUUCAGUAUGCACCUGCGUAUUCCCACAGCUUCCCAGAGUCCUGUGCGAAACAGCCUUCUAGGGCACCCAAGCUGGACUGAAAU
rnacentral:snoRNA from 1 species